UACAGAGGUCUCAAGCGUUGUCCGGAUUUACUGGGCGUAAAGAGCGCGCAGGCGGUCGAUCAAGUCGAGUGUGAAAGCCCCCGGCUCAACUGGGGAGGGUCACGCGAUACUGAUCGACUCGAAGGCAGGAGAGGGUAGUGGAAUUCCCGGUGUAGUGGUGAAAUGCGUAGAUAUCGGGAGGAACACCAGUGGCGAAGGCGACUACCUGGCCUGUUCUUGACGCUGAGGCGCGAAAGCUAGGGGAGCAAACGGG
rnacentral:rRNA from 1 species